rnacentral:rRNA from 1 species
AGUCGAGGGGUAAGUUCUUCGGAACUAGAGACCGGCGCACGGGUGCGUAACGCGUAUGCAAUCUACCUUUUACAGAGGGAUAGCCCAGAGAAAUUUGGAUUAAUACCUCAUAGUAUGCAGAGUUGGCAUCAACACUGCAUUAAAGUCACAACGGUAAAAGAUGAGCAUGCGUCCCAUUAGCUAGUUGGUAAGGUAACGGCUUACCAAGGCUACGAUGGGUAGGGGUCCUGAGAGGGAGAUCCCCCACACUGGUACUGAGACACGGACCAGACUCCUACGGGAGGCAGCAGUGAGGAAUAUUGGACAAUGGGCGCAAGCCUGAUCCAGCCAUGCCGCGUGCAGGAUGACGGUCCUAUGGAUUGUAAACUGCUUUUAUACGAGAAGAAACACUGCUUCGUGAAGCAGCUUGACGGUAUCGUAAGAAUAAGGAUCGGCUAACUCCGUGCCAGCAGCCGCGGUAAUACGGAGGAUCCAAGCGUUAUCCGGAAUCAUUGGGUUUAAAGGGUCCGUAGGCGGUUUAAUAAGUCAGUGGUGAAAGCCCAUCGCUCAACGGUGGAACGGCCAUUGAUACUGUUAAACUUGAAUUAUUAGGAAGUAACUAGAAUAUGUAGUGUAGCGGUGAAAUGCUUAGAGAUUACAUGGAAUACCAAUUGCGAAGGCAGGUUACUACUAAUGGAUUGACGCUGAUGGACGAAAGCGUGGGUAGCGAACAGGAUUAGAUACCCUGGUAGUCCACGCCGUANACGAUGGAUACUAGCUGUUGGAAGCAAUUUCAGUGGCUAAGCGAAAGUGAUAAGUAUCCCACCUGGGGAGUACGUUCGCAAGAAUGAAACUCAAAGGAAUUGACGGGGGCCCGCACAAGCG